GCUGCAGAGGUGACAGUAUCAUCCUGGUCCCCAACAGGACCCUGAUCUUCAUCCCCGCUGCAGCAGAUCGGCCGGGGGCCCUCCUCCCGGCGACGAUGCUUCCUCCGUCUCCGUCUCCAAACCUAUGUACUACGGGACUGAAUCCCCGCCCCGGCCGCAGAUCCGCGUUCACGCGGGGAAGAGAGGCACACUUGGGUUGGGUGCUCCCGGUCAAAGAAAGAGACAACUCCGGCGAAUCUUUCUUCCCCUCUCGCGCUCACACUCGACCACAUCCAGUCCACACCUCGUCGCCGUCGCCGUCGCCGUCGGCACUUAUCAGGCCGCGAGUCUGCAACCACUCGAUUCAGAGAAUGAAAAGAAGAAUCUGCCCCCCUUCUUCAUUGUGCCUAUCUCUUCUUCCCCGCAAGCGCUGUAUCCUCCUUGCUUCCCGGUCACCGGCGGCGACGGAGUCCCUUGCAGACGGCGUUGAUACAGACCAGUCUCUUUCUCCCCCUCUACGAUCCUCUCCGGCGACCUCUGCCUCACCGACUCCUUCCUCUGCACUAGGCUGUGAGAACCGCGCGUCAGUGUUAUCGGUGUCCCCGUAAGAUCCGCCCGGGCCAGCAAUGGCGGCAGCGGCAGCCGUCGUCGGGGGCAUGGUCGCCUCGGGCGUCAUCAAGGUGGUGAUAAAACAGAUCGGAUCCGCCAUCGGCGGCAAGAUCAAGCUGCACAAGAACCUGAAGAAAGAUCUGCAGAAGAUGAAGAUGACGCUGGAGUCGGUGGAGGCCGCGCUCAGCGACGCCGAGAGGCGCUCCAUCAACGACAGCUCGGCGCUGCUGUGGGUGAACCGGCUCAAGGCCGCCAUGUAUGACAUCUCCGACAUGCUCGACGAUUUCGAAUCUGACACACAGUCCCGGGUCGGAGCUAUGAGGAAGAAGAUCAGUAUGCCGGACAAGAUGAAAAAGAUGCAAAAGCGUCUACAGAAGAUAACAGAAGACCAUCAGAACUAUCGUCUUCUGCCAGAAACUCGCAGCAAUGAGCCACAACUUCCUGAUAUCCGGGAAAAUGCAGGGACUAUGGUGGAAGCAGAAAUCAUCGGGAGGGCCGAGGAAAAACUGGAAAUCUUGGCUCGAUUAUCUGGGAGCACCACUGAACAUACCACCUUUGUUCCCAUAUGGGGCUUGGGAGGAAUUGGAAAGUCCACCUUGGCAAGAUUGGUUUACAAUCAUCCUGAGUUUGAAAAACACUCUCGGGUAUGGGUCUAUGUUUCCCAGAUAUUUGACUUGAAAAAAAUUGGCAACACUAUAAUAUCACAACUAUCAAGACAACAGAGCCAGCAGAUACUUGAUCUGCACAGUAUUAACAUUCGCCUUCAAGAGCUACUUGCUGAGAAGAAGAAUGCUUUGAUCAUUCUGGAUGACCUGUGGGAGAAGCGUCCUUCUCAACUAGAAGAAUUAAAGUCUAUGCUGAAGCAGAGUAAGGGGUGCAAGGUGAUGGUUGUAGUUACCACACGUGAUGAAGGGAUUGCAAAUGAAAUCUCCACUGUGCAGCCUUACAAAUUACCUCAAUUGUCAGAUGAGAUGUGCUGGGAAAUAAUGAGCCAAAAGAGUAAAUUCGAAACAAGGGACGACAAAGAACGGUUGGAGCCGAUUGGAAGGGAUAUUGCAAAAAAGUGCAAAGGCGUAGCUUUAGCUGCUCAAUCACUUGGACACAUUUUGAGGUCCAAGUCGUAUGGAGAAUGGAAUUCGGUCAGAACCAAUCAUAUCUGGAAUCUAUCUACUUCUACAGAUGCAUCAUCUAGUCAUGAAGUGCUUGGAUCCUUGUUGUUAAGCUACAACUUGAUGCCUCCAUAUUUAAAGUCGUGCUUUGCUUAUUGUGCAAUCUUUCCAAAGGGCCACAUAAUGAUUAAAGAUGAGUUAAUUCAUCAAUGGAUUGCUCUUGGAUUCAUGGAGCCAUCUAGUAUAUUCUCUUAUUGGCAACUCGGUGAGAGUUACAUUAUGCAGCUUCUGGAGAUGUCAUUUCUUCAACAUUCAAAGGCUAUUGUUGAAUGGUACGACAUAGACAAUAUUGUCACACUGUUCACAAUGCAUGACCUCGUGUAUGACCUCGCAAGGUCAGUCAUGGCUGACGAAUUUAAUUUGGCGGGCCCCAACUGCCGCUAUGCAUGGAACAUAGAUUCCGCGAAGCCACUAAAGUCAUCGACGACUUCACCUGAAAAGAUAAGGACGCUAAAUAUUGUGGGCGAUGAAACCUCAUGGCCGUCAUGGUACAAGUUCCAUCGUGAUGCAAUUGCACCAGCAAAGUACGUUCGCGUCUUGCAUUCAUCAGUCAGUUCAAAUAGAUUGGUUGCUUCUAUUGGUCAACUGAAGCAGUUGAGGUAUCUUAGUGCUCCAAAUAUCCGUGGUCGAGUGGAUCUCGGGUGUAUCGGUAUGCUUCAAAAAUUGAAUUAUCUCAACCUUCAUAAUUGUCAGGAAUUGUCAGCAUUGCCAGAGUCAAUUAGUGAAAUGGAAGGUCUGAUGUAUCUUAACUUAUCAGAUUGUGAAAAUCUGAAAGAACUCCCAAAUUCGUUUGCGAAUCUCAAAGAGUUGGUAUAUCUGAACUUAUCAAACAGUGAUAAUGUUAUAGGAUUACCCGAAGCUUUGGCUAACCUUACCAAACUCCAACAAUUAGAAUUAACAGCAUGUGAAAAUCUCAGAGGGCGUCCAGAAGUCAUCACCAAUCUCACCGAACUCCGCAAUCUGAGGCUAUCAAGGUGCAUGCAUCAUAUAUUUGACAGCUCAUCAACAGUUCAAACCGAGAGUUUCAUUGACAGUAUCUGUAGGCUUCCCAAUAUGGAGCACCUGGACCUGUCUUUUAAUGGCCAUCCUCUUAUUAGUAUACCAGAAAGUGCUAGCUGCCUCCGGAAGCUGGUACUUCACGGGUGCCGCCAAGUUGCCAGGCUUCCAGAAUGUGUGGCUAAAAUGGACCGUCAAAGCCUUUUUGGCUUGUUGCCACUAUUUUCUGUAACUACCGAUGAUGGUAAAUGUUACAGCAACCUUGGCUUUCUUGAGCAUGUAAAUCCUCACAAGCUGAACAUCAAGAAACUUGAAAAUGUGAAGUCCCCAGAAGAGGCACGGAGUGUAAGACUGAUUGAAAAACAUAGGAUUGAAGAAAUGUCAUUAAUGUGGAACCCACAAGCUGAGAGAUCUGUGGAUGACAUGGAGUUGCUGAGGGAGCUAGUGCCACCAACCACUUUGCAAAAGUUUGAGAUAUAUGGUUAUAUUAGUGCCAGCUUUCCAGACUGGGUAAUGAGUAUUGGCAAUUAUCUCCCUAAUCUUGACCGAAUGGUGAUGUAUGGUUUGCCCAACUGCAAAAGCCUUCCACCUCUCGCCCAACUACCACCAAACCUCCGGGUGCUUACUCUGGAAGAAAUGGAAAGCCUGGAAGAAUGGAACACAACAUACUGUAGCGGUGAGGAUGGUGUGAAUGAGCUCAUGUUCUGUAAGCUUGAGCAAGUGAACAUACAUUUUUGCCCCAAGUUGAGGAUAACACCACACCUUCCUAGAGCUGCAUCUUGGAGUAUACGCGGAAGUGAUAAUGUGCUCAUAUCAUGGGCAGGGAGUGUGUCACACAAUGAUGCUUCCUCAUCUUUUUCAGGAGUAUCUACUACUCUGAUAGUUGGAAGAAGCAAGGUGCCUCUGCACCAGUGGAGAUUGCUUCACCAUAUACCUGCCCUCAUUGCUUUGCACAGCUAUAAUUGCUGGGAUUUGACAAGCUCGCCAGAGAUCACCUUUGCCCAUUCAAAACUGUCGGAAUGGGUAGGAGAGUUGGCAUCUGUUCAGCAACUGACGAUAAACCAAUGCAUGACGCUAGAGGAAUUGCCCGGUAACAUGAGGCAACUCAAACAGCUGCAAUCAUUAAAACUAAAUAUCUGUUGUAGCUUGAGACAGCUGCCGCUGUGGUUAGGAGAACUUACCUCUCUCAAGAAACUUAUAAUUUGUAGCUGUUUUGCUAUCACGAUCUGCCAGACAGCAUACAACAGCUCACAAACCUCCAAGAAUUAAACGUUAGCUACUGCGGUAACUUAGAGCAGUGGUGUGAAGCAGAGGAGAACAAGCCGAAGCUUGCUCACAUAGAACAAAAGAGGACCUAUUUCCCCCUGAGGACAGCUGCCAUUCCUGCCAGCCGCCGAUGGUCCCCACUACGGUGGCCCUUGCUGCGAACGAAAAUAAGAAAGUGAUGCUGGAGAAAAGAAAGCGGAGGCGCGAAUCAGGAGUUCAGGACUUAGGCUGCUCGAUCGAGUCGGUUGAGCCCACGUCCAUCUGAAUGAAAACUUCGUAGUAAUUACUACCAUGUGGUUCCAAUCUACUCCUGGCAUGCACUAAAUGGGCGUCCGUCUCCUUGGUGAAAUCUGAACUGCGUCCUGGGGAGGAUGGACUGUACUGUACCUGCAUCAAAGGAGGAUCUUCACCUUUCUCGGUCUGUGGUGUUGCUGUUGAUGAGAUGCCUGCUGCUCCUAGGCCAUCCAAGAGAACUGCUGAGGAUCACCCGGGGUUUUGUUCAACCGGUGGGCAGAUGCGUCGGACGAGCAACGGCGGCAGUAACUGGUUCCUUUUCUCGCAAAAAAGAAGAAGAAGAAAAAAACACUGGCUAGUUCCUGCGCCAAGACUGAUUCAUUUUAUAAUUGUGUGUUCUUCAUUGAUGUUUGCUCGCUUUGUCAUAUCACGGCAUGCGUCCUGUAAUAAAGUACCCUCAGCUGGUCAGCUACUGUGGGUCGACCCGAGCGCUUGGCAGAUGGCAUGUAACGAAGCACAACGGCCGCCUGGUUUGAUCUGUUCUGCCG